UACGGGGGGAGCAAGCGUUGUUCGGAUUUACUGGGCGUAAAGGGCGCGUAGGCGGUCAGCACAAGUCAGUUGUGAAAUCUCCGGGCUUAACUCGGAAAGGUCAACUGAUACUGUGCGACUAGAGUGCAGAAGGGGCAACUGGAAUUCUCGGUGUAGCGGUGAAAUGCGUAGAUAUCGAGAGGAACACCUGCGGCGAAGGCGGGUUGCUGGGCUGACACUGACGCUGAUGUGCGAAAGCCAGGGGAGCGAACGGG
rnacentral:rRNA from 1 species